rnacentral:rRNA from 1 species
UACAGAGGUCUCAAGCGUUGUUCGGAUUCAUUGGGCGUAAAGCGCACGUAGGCGGAUUGUUAAGUCGGGGGUGAAAUCCUGGAGCUCAACUCCAGAACUGCCUUCGAUACUGGGAAGCUCGAGUCCGGGAGAGGUGAGUGGAACUGCGAGUGUAGAGGUGAAAUUCGUAGAUAUUCGCAAGAACACCAGUGGCGAAGGCGGCUCACUGGCCCGGUACUGACGCUGAGGUGCGAAAGCGUGGGGAGCAAACAGG